UUGUGUCUUCGAGUCGUUGAUUUCACACUGCCGAGAAAAGCCUCUAGAUAGAAAAUAGGUGCCCGUACCGCAAACCGACACAGGUAGUCAAGAUGAGAAUUCUAAGGUGAGCGAGCGAACUCUCGUUAAGGAACUCGGCAAAAUGACCCCGUAACUUCGGGAGAAGGGGUGCUCUUUAGGGUUAACGCCCAGAAGAGCCGCAGUGAAUAGGCCCAAGCGACUGUUUAUCAAAAACACAGGUCUCUGCUAAACCGUAAGGUGAUGUAUAGGGGCUGACGCCUGCCCGGUGCUGGAAGGUUAAGAGGAGUGGUUAGCUUCUGCGAAGCUACGAAUCGAAGCCCCAGUAAACGGCGGCCGUAACUAUAACGGUCCUAAGGUAGCGAAAUUCCUUGUCGGGUAAGUUCCGACCCGCACGAAAGGCGUAACGAUUUGGGCACUGUCUCAACGAGAGACUCGGUGAAAUCAUAGUACCUGUGAAGAUGCAGGUUACCCGCGACAGGACGGAAAGACCCCGUGGAGCUUUACUGUAGCCUGAUAUUGAAAUUCGGCACAGCUUGUACAGGAUAGGUAGGAGCCUUUGAAACGUGAGCGCUAGCUUACGUGGAGGCGCUGGUGGGAUACUACCCUAGCUGUGUUGGCUUUCUAACCCGCACCACUUAUCGUGGUGGGAGACAGUGUCAGGCGGGCAGUUUGACUGGGGCGGUCGCCUCCUAAAAGGUAACGGAGGCGCUCAAAGGUUCCCUCAGAAUGGUUGGAAAUCAUUCAUAGAGUGUAAAGGCAUAAGGGAGCUUGACUGCGAGACCUACAAGUCGAGCAGGGUCGAAAGACGGACUUAGUGAUCCGGUGGUUCCGCAUGGAAGGGCCAUCGCUCAACGGAUAAAAGCUACCCCGGGGAUAACAGGCUUAUCUCCCCCAAGAGUUCACAUCGACGGGGAGGUUUGGCACCUCGAUGUCGGCUCAUCGCAUCCUGGGGCUGUAGUCGGUCCCAAGGGUUGGGCUGUUCGCCCAUUAAAGCGGUACGCGAGCUGGGUUCAGAACGUCGUGAGACAGUUCGGUCCCUAUCCGUCGUGGGCGUAGGAAAUUUGAGAGGAGCUGUCCUUAGUACGAGAGGACCGGGAUGGACAUACCUCUGGUGUACCAGUUGUCGUGCCAACGGCAUAGCUGGGUAGCUAUGUGUGGACGGGAUAAGUGCUGAAAGCAUCUAAGCAUGAAGCCCCCCUCAAGAUGAGAUUUCCCAACUUCGGUUAUAAGAUCCCUCAAAGAUGAUGAGGUUAAUAGGUUCGAGGUGGAAGCAUGGUGACAUGUGGAGCUGACGAAUACUAAUCGAUCGAAGACUUAAUCAA
rnacentral:rRNA from 1 species